UAAAGCCCUUUCAGUGGGAAAGAUGAUGACGGUACCCACAGAAGAAGCCCCGGCUAACUCCGUGCCAGCAGCCGCGGUAAUACGGAGGGGGCGAGCGUUGUUCGGAAUUAUUGGGCGUAAAGAGCGCGUAGGCGGCUUUUUAAGUCAGAAGUGAAAUCCUCGGGCUUAACCCGGGAACUGCUUUUGAAACUGGGAGGCUUGAGUCCGGCAGAGGGUGGUGGAAUUCCCCGUGUAGAGGUGAAAUUCGUAGAUAUGGGGAGGAAGACC
rnacentral:rRNA from 1 species